CAGCAGCCGCGGGAAUACGUAGGGGGCAAGCGUUGUCCGGAAUUAUUGGGCGUAAAGCGCGCGCAGGCGGUCGUGUAAGUCUGGUGUUUAAUCCCGGGGCUCAACCCCGGAUCGCACUGGAAACUGGGUGACUUGAGUGCAGAAGAGGAGAGUGGAAUUCCACGUGUAGCGGUGAAAUGCGUAGAGAUGUGGAGGAACACCAGUGGCGAAGGCGACUCUCAGGGCUGUAACUGACGCUGAGGCGCGAAAGCGUGGGGAGCAAACAGGAUUAGAUACCCCAGUAGUCCCUGUCUCUUAUACA
rnacentral:rRNA from 1 species